AACGAACGCUGGCGGCAUGCCUAACACAUGCAAGUCGAACGAGAUCUUCGGGUCUAGUGGCGCACGGGUGCGUAACGCGUGGGAAUCUGCCCUUUGGUUCGGAAUAACAGUUGGAAACGACUGCUAAUACCGGAUGAUGACGAAAGUCCAAAGAUUUAUCGCCAGAGGAUGAGCCCGGGUAGGAUUAGCUAGUUGGUGUGGUAAAGGCGCACCAAGGCGACGAUCCUUAGCUGGUCUGAGAGGAUGAUCAGCCACACUGGGACUGAGACACGGCCCAGACUCCUACGGGAGGGAGCAGUGGGAAAUAUUGGACAAUGGGCGAAAGCCUGAUCCAGCAAUGCAGCGUGAGUGAUGAAGGCCUUAGGGUUGUAAAGCUCUUUUACCCGGGAUGAUAAUGACAGUACCGGGAGAAUAAGCGCCGGCUAACUCCGUGCCAGCCGCCGCGGUAA
rnacentral:rRNA from 1 species